AGUAAUGUAUGGGGAUCUGCCUGAUGGGGGGGGAUAACUACUGGAAACGGUAGCUAAUACCGCAUAACGUCGCAAGACCAAAGAGGGGGACCUUAGGGCCUCUUGCCAUCGGAUGUGCCCAGAUGGGAUUAGCUAGUAGGUGGGGUAAUGGCUCACCUAGGCGACGAUCCCUAGCUGGUCUGAGAGGAUGACCAGCCACACUGGAACUGAGACACGGUCCAG
rnacentral:rRNA from 1 species